CAGCCGCCGCGGUAAUACGAGGGGGGCUAGCGUUGCUCGGAAUUACUGGGCGUAAAGGGAGCGUAGGCGGACAUUUAAGUCAGGGGUGAAAUCCCAGAGCUCAACUCUGGAACUGCCUUUGAUACUGGGUGUCUUGAGUGUGAUAGAGGUAUGUGGAACUCCGAGUGUAGAGGUGAAAUUCGUAGAUAUUCGGAAGAACACCAGUGGCGAAGGCGACAUACUGGAUCAUUACUGACGCUGAGGCUCGAAAGCGUGGGGAGCAAACAGGAUUAGAUACCCCCGUAGUCCCUGUCUCUUAUAC
rnacentral:rRNA from 1 species